rnacentral:rRNA from 1 species
CCUUUGUACACACCGCCCGUCGCUACUACCGAUUGAAUGGCUCAGUGAGGCAUUCGGACUGGCUCGGGGAGGUUGGCAACGACCACCCCGAGCCGGAAAGUUCUCCAAACUCGGUCAUUUAGAGG